CAGGCACUGACUUCCUCAGCAAAACCCCUAAAGCCCACAAUGUAAAACCAAAAAUCAAUAAGAUGGAUGUCACCAAAUUAAAAAGCCUUUGCACAGUAAAGGAAAUGAUUAAAGGGGGGAGGUUAUGGAAUGGGAGAAAAUCUUUGCCAGCUACUCCUUUGACAAAGGACUAAUAUGCAUAAUAUAUAAAGUCAAAAAUAUCAAUGCCAAACAGAAAACAAAUAGUCCAAUCAAUAAAUGGAUAAAAGAAAUAAACAUAAACGUCACAAAACAAGAAACACAAAUGGCCAAAAAAAUAUAUGAAAUGUUCAGCAUCUCUAGCAAUUAGGGAAGUGCAAAUAAAAAUUACACAAAAAAUUCAUCUCACUCCAUUCAGAAUGUCAACUAAUAAAGAACAUAAAAAAUAAUAAAUGCCAGCAAGUACAUGGGGAAAAAGAUACAUUCUUACAUUGUUGGUGGGACUGAAAAUUAAAACAACUGGAAAUCAAUAUGUAGAUUCCUGAAAAAACUAGGAAUUUGUUCCAGAGAGGUGUUUAUUCAAAAGAUCUAAAAUGAGCAAACUAUAACUUUACAGCCACUAUAAUGUUUGCAGGACCACAUUCAAACAGCCAAAUUGUAGAAUCAACCCAGAUCCCAUCAACAGACAAAUGGAUUAAGAAAAUG
rnacentral:lncRNA from 1 species